CCGGCGACCGGCGGACGGUGCGUAACGCGUAUGUAACCUACCUUUGACAGGGGGAUAACAUCGAGAAAUUGGUACUAAUACCCCAUAACAUCACCGGAGGCAUCUUCGGUGGGUUGAAAACUACAGGUGGUCAGAGAUGGACAUGCGUUGUAUUAGCUAGUUGGUGAGGUAACGGCUCACCAAGGCGACGAUACAUAGGGGGACUGAGAGGUCAACCCCCCACAUUGGUACUGAGACACGGACCAAACUCCUACGGGAGGCAGCAG
rnacentral:rRNA from 1 species